rnacentral:misc_RNA from 1 species
CCGAGUUUUCAAACUCCCAAACCCAAAUGUGAACUUAUACACCCCAACGACGUUGCCUCGGCGGCCAAACCCUUCCCACCCUGGUGGGGGGCGCCGCCGCCGCAGGGAACCACAGACUCUUCUGAAUUGCCCCAAUGCAUUGUCUGAGUGCACUGAAAUACAGUGAAUCA